rnacentral:rRNA from 1 species
AGCAGCCGCGGUAAUUCCAGCUCCAAUAGCGUAUAUUAAAGUUGUUGCAGUUAAAAAGCUCGUAGUUGAAUUUCGGGAUUAGUACGCUGGUCGUGCCUUCGGUAUGUACUGGUGUUACUGAUUCCUACCUUCUGAAGAACCGUCAUGUCAUUAAUUUGGUGUGGCGGGGAAUCAGGACUGUUACUUUGAAAAAAAUUAGAGUGUUUAAAGCAGGCUCGCGCUUGAAUACAUUAGCAUGGAAUAAUGAAAUAGGACGUUCGAUCCUAUUUUGUUGGUUUCUAGGAUUGACGUAAUGAUUAAUAGGGAUAGUUGGGGGCAUUAGUAUUCAAUUGUCAGAGGUGAAAUUCUUGGAUUUAUUGAAGACUAACUACUGCGAAAGCAUUUGCCAAGGAUGUUUUCAUUAAUCAAGAACGAAAGUUAGGGGAUCGAAGACGAUCAGAUACCGUCGUAGUCUUAACCAUAAACUAAUGCCGACUAGGGAUCGGAUGAUGUUAAUUUUUUAAUGACUCAUUCGGCGCCU